UACGAAGGGGGCUAGCGUUGCUCGGAAUUACUGGGCGUAAAGCGUGCGCAGGCGGUUGUGUAAGACAGAUGUGAAAUCCCCGGGCUCAACCUGGGAACUGCAUUUGUGACUGCACGGCUCGAGUGCGGCAGAGGGGGAUGGAAUUCCGCGUGUAGCAGUGAAAUGCGUAGAUAUGCGGAGGAACACCGAUGGCGAAGGCAAUCCCCUGGGCCUGCACUGACGCUCAUGCACGAAAGCGUGGGGAGCAAACAGG
rnacentral:rRNA from 1 species